UGUGUAUGUCUAAAGUCUCACCACCAUUUUCUAAAUGGUGCAAAACUAACACGUGACUCCCCUUGCUCAAGACCUGACAGAUGACUUUUUUCUUUUCUUUUCUUUUUUUCUUUUUAAAUUUAUGGGCAGUGAAAAUUGUAAUGAUGGAGAAAUUCUAAGUAUCGCAUGAUAGCUUAUUCUGAAAUGAAAAUGAGAUAGUGCCCAUAUCUGAUGAUCAGGAUUCCUCUGUUGGGAUGGUUGUGAUCAUGCAGCCAUCAGAGGGGACCCUUGAAAAACAAGAUGAACCAACAUGUCUUUACGCAUGAAAAAGCUACUAGCUGCAGGGGACCCUUGAAUAUGCAUUUUUUUGGUUGGAUGUCCCUCUCGAAGCUUUGGCAAGGCGGAUUGCUGCUGUAGGGACUGAUUCUCGUCCUCUUUUGCGCCAAGAAUCUGGCGAUGCUUACACAAAGGUGUCUAUAUAUAUCCUUCCAUUCUAAAUAUGUUUGUUUUGUUGCACUGGUUAGGUAUAACAGAUCUGAAUUUCACUGAGUUUUGAAGAGACCAAAUGUCCAGAUCAUGUCCUAGCAGAUGCUGCUCAUGCUAUUUGCUAGUGGCUGGUUAGUGAAUGGUAGAUCCGAAUUGAUGAAUUAUACACUAAAUGGCAAGAGUAUGUUUUGCCACAAAGCAUUAAUAUAUGACCUAGUUAUUGCAUUGACCACCCUUUCUCUAAACUUCUGUGCAGGCUUUUGCGCGUCUCACCAUGCUAUUUGGCGAAAGGGGGAGAAGCCUAUGCCAAUGCUGAUGCCACAGUCUCCCUUCAAUGUAUGUUUUCUAACUUGUGGACUGAUUGCGAUGUUCUUCUCUUGUUUUCUCAAGUUAUGGUCAUAAGAUUGACAGUUGAUUGAACCCAAAUGUAAAUGCAAGGAUGAUGUUUGUAGAUUCAAGAUGUGCUUGGAAGCUCCUGCGUUUAGUGGCAGAUGGGAAUUGCUGGACGUGCUCUGCCAAAAUCCCAACUGAGAUAACAACUUCCUGUUCCUAUCCCAACUGAGAUUGGAUCCCACUUAAAUAUGAUUUCCAUUUUAUGCUCUACUGCUGAAGGUUGUUCCAAAUGUUCCCUAACCAAUCCCAUUAAGGUUCCACUAAAGUCACAGAACCAAUCCCAUUAAGGUUCUUCCAAAUGUUCCCUAACCAAUCAUUUUAAACAUUAAACAAGGCAAUGGUACUUAUGCACAUGGUGCAAUGGUCUUUUAAUUACCACCCAUUCUUCUCUCUUGAAUCGCCCAUGUUUCCAUAUGUCAAUUUAUACUCUAAUUAUCAGCUUCCCACCUGGAGAUUAAAUUCGAAACUAUACUUUGUCAAGGACUGGGGGCUUCCCAACCCAAAAUCCAAGAACCCAUGGCUUAGAGAUGAGCUAAUUCUCAAGCAUAACAGCAUCUACUACGCCUCCAUUGCUUUGAAUUUCGUCCUAAGACUCGCAUGGGUCGAGACUGUGAUGCACCUCAAUGUUGGGAGGGUUGAGUACCGGCUGCUUGAUUUCUUUUUGGCUUCAUUGG